AUCCAGCCGACGAGUCCCAAAUAGGACGAAACGCGCGUCCUGAAU
rnacentral:hammerhead_ribozyme from 1 species